rnacentral:misc_RNA from 1 species
GACGUGCGGGCCGAGGUCGAGUUGACGCACGAGCGCAACCGCGCGGUCUCCGAGCCCGAGGUGGCGGAGGCCACGCUGUUCAUCAACGGGACAGUUCUCAAGGCGAAGCAGGCCACGGCGGACAUGUACGCCUCCAUAGACGGGAUGGUGGACAAGCUGGAGCGGCAGGUCCGGCGCUUCAGGGGACGCCAGCUCGACCGCUGGCAGGGUCAGCGCGACCGGGUGAUGCCCGAGCCCGUGCU